rnacentral:rRNA from 1 species
UACGUAGGGCGCGAGCGUUGUCCGGAAUUAUUGGGCGUAAAGAGCUCGUAGGCGGUCUGUUGCGUCCGCUGUGAAAACCCGGGGCUUAACCCUGGGCUGGCAGUGGAUACGGACAGACUAGAGGUAGGUAGGGGAGAAUGGAAUUCCCGGUGUAGCGGUGAAAUGCGCAGAUAUCGGGAGGAACACCGGUGGCGAAGGCGGUUCUCUGGGCCUUACCUGACGCUGAGGAGCGAAAGCGUGGGGAGCGAACAGG